CGUCGUUUCUUUUUCCCCCAUCCGUUGCUUCUCCCCUCCUUUAUGCGUCGUUCCCUCUCCUCCGCGUCCGUUUUUUUCUCCCCACUUCUCCUCUCUCUUAGUUUUUUUUUUUUUUUUUUUAAGCUUUGUCCGCCUGUUCUCCUUCCCUUUCCCUCUCUCAAGUAUGCCCGUUUCAUCGGCACCACUUCGAGCGCCUACCGCCCCUCCUCCGCCGCCGCCGCCCCCACGGCGCCUCCGUCGAACCACCGGGCCGUGAGUCCCUGCAGCACCCCUGCCGCCUCCCUCGGGAUCCGCAACCCCGCCGCUCCAAUCUCCACUGCCACCAUCUUCUCCUACCCCCUCCUCGCCCGGAGGAGCUGAUGGUGUUCUUGCCGGAUUUGUUGAAGAAGAAGCUAAUCGAAUGACUUCUUCGGUAGAAGAAGCUAAUUGGACCGCGAUUAUAUACAGAUCGAGAGGAUUUGGAACAACCCUGCGACUUCUGGCAAAAUCCUGCAAGCUUCCAUGAGGUUUUCAUCGUCAUUGUCGUUAUCAUCUUCAUUAUCAUCCCCGUCUUCGUACACCCUUUUGGAGUUUUUUCUUUUGGCAUGGUUUCUUCUGACAGUAUCCAACAACUAGCUUAGUUGGAUAUGUGGUGCUGAUCUCCAAUUCGGUCUAUCAAGUUUUCUUCACUUGGCGUGAUCUCAAGGUACAUCAACAAUUUAUUUUUAAUUAUAUAUUUUAUCCAUAUUGGUGCUUUUGAUCAUGGUUUGAUCUAUUAUGGCUUGCAAAGAAAUAUUUCAUUUAGAAAAAAUUUGGUGACAUGCAUCAACUAUUAAGCUCAAGGGUAAAUUCAUCAAGUACCGAAUCUGCUAGGAGGAUGAUGAAGCCAAUUUGGAGACCCCUUGCACGUACUAUGGCAGCUUAAAGGAAAUAUUUGCAGAGGCAACAAAUUUGUAAUUUGAGGAAUAUUGCUUCAAUCCAGUGUGUGAUAUCAUUGAAUCCUCUACAGUUGUAUUUUUUUUUUCUUUGAUUUGUAUGAGUUGCGAUGAUACAAAAAAAAGUAUAAAAAGAAUAUUUUACCAAAAAACUAUUAGUAAGAAAAUUAUUUCAUCUCUUAUACUAUUAUCUUUAGUAUCACAAACAAUGAUCCCUAUAGCUACAAUCUAUGAGUAUAAACGUGUUACGAUAGUUGUGGGGCGAGUGAUGUUGAAUUUAUGAAGGCAAAAAACUUAUUUACUGUAACAUUUUCUUAGCUAUUUCUAUGCAGACAUUGAACAUUUUGUAUAUAGGAAUACUUUCGCAAUGCGCCUGCCCCGUUGUCUUUACUAUUAUGUCUAUCAAUCAAGUUGGAUCUAUAUGAUAUUUCAUUAACUAUCAAAA